GACGAACGCUGGCGGCGUGCUUAACACAUGCAAGUCGAACGGAAAGGCCCUGCUUUUGUGGGGUGCUCGAGUGGCGAACGGGUGAGUAACACGUGAGUAACCUGCCCUUGACUUUGGGAUAACUUCAGGAAACUGGGGCUAAUACCGGAUAGGAGCUCCUGCUGCAUGGUGGGGGUUGGAGAGUUUCGGCGGUUGGGGAUGGACUCGCGGCUUAUCAGCUUGUUGGUGGGGUAGUGGCUUACCAAGGCUUUGACGGGUAGCCGGCCUGAGAGGGUGACCGGCCACAUUGGGACUGAGAUACGGCCCAGACUCCUACGGGAGGCAGCAGUGGGGAAUAUUGCACAAUGGGCGGAAGCCUGAUGCAGCAACGCCGCGUGCGGGAUGACGGCCUUCGGGUUGUAACCCGCUUUCGCCUGUGACGAAGCGUGAGUGACGGUAAUGGGUAAAGAAGCACCGGCUAACUACGUG
rnacentral:rRNA from 1 species